rnacentral:snoRNA from 1 species
CGGUCAUUUCAAAGAGAACUUGUUAGACUCUUGACCAAGAUCCCUUGACAUUCUGACCAAAGAUUAAUGUUGUCUGCAGGGUGACACAGUCACUUAGAGUGCUGUUUUUCUGAGGGGACAAAAAAAAAAA